CAACAUAGAAACAUUGAAUGUGACGACAGAUAAGAACCAUUUGGCCCAUCUAAUCUCCCCAAUUUUCUUAAUACGUUCAUUAGACCUUGGCCUUAUCUUAUUGCUAGGAUAGCCUUAUGCCUAUCCCACACAAAACUGAAUAAAUGUUCCUAUCCUAUUGAGUCCAUGUGGAGUUAAAUUAUUAAAGUUAAAAAUGAAUUUAAUCUCUUCCAUUGUUAUAAUCACUGCCCCUCCAAUUUCUUCUUACUGUUUUUUAAAUAUUUCUAAAAUGUUCCAAAAC